CAAAAUUUAUUGAUCCAAAGCGAACUUGAAACUGAAAGUCAAGAAAUUUAUUUGGACAAUAAAUUAAAUAUUCUACAGAUACAACACGAAUUGCAGCACUGACGAAUUGCAAAAUUUAUGCGAAGAAAUUUAUGAAUUGCUCUAAGCGAUUGUGUCAACUUCGUCUAAAAGGAUCAACCUCCUUCAAAAAGAUGAGGUUGUGCCAAGGCGUAGCGGGCAAGUGUCGCUCGAGGAUCUUUGUAAUAGAUGGGCAUGGGUUUUAAUUGUAUGUCCAAUCCGCAUACGAGUAAUGGCACGGAGAGGUAUGCUUGGAUCGCACACUGGCCUCUUUCUGCUCGGGUUGAUUGCAGAUUAUGUGUUUUUUAUUUCCGGCAGUGUUCACUGCUCAAAAAAUUUGCUACGUUUACAAUUAUCUGAGAUGGCGGAGAGUAUUUGGGGGAUGAAAAAUCAUUUGACAGAUUGCGCUCACAUUCAAUUCAGCUUUUGCUUUUGCUGAAUUGAUGGUGCUCUUCGAGAAAUCAAACAUCAGCAUCAACAACAACAACCGCAUUAGCAACGUAUAAUAGCAGUGAAGAAGAGUGGGGUAUGCUGUGCUCACAGGAUGCAAAAUAUAAUAUAUCCGUUUUAGUAAUUUUGAGGGGCCCAAGCGCGUGCAUUUCUUACGAGGCAACAGCGAUAGUGGACGCGAUGUGACACGACGACAAGAUAACUUCAUAUAUUUAACAAAAAUUAUACAUAAAAGGAUAUUAAGAAAACAUAUAAGGAAAAAAUGAUUUUGCAAUAGUGAGCAAUAUAACUUUUGGCGUGCGUACCUACGUAUAUGUGCUGCCAAACUUUACGUUUAUAUAUGUAUACAUGAAUGUGCUGUGCUUGUAAAAUUCAAGUCGAGUGAAAUAAGAAAAAUCGAAGUGAAAAUUACAUACCAUAGCCUAUUCGGGAUGCGAGGAAAAAAUUAAUGAAGUAAUAUUUCAACCUCGGAGUGCUUUUAAUUUGUUAUAAACUUAAAAAUAAACUAAAUCUACAAUAGAUAUUUCUUUAAUCUGAAGAACCAGUUAGGAAAUAUUGUGGAAGAAUAGCAACUGUAAUGAGUGAUUGUGUGUAUGCACUUA